AGCCAAAUGCAACACCUUCUUCAGCUGAGGAGAGUUUAACUGAGGAUCAUCCUUCUGAACCUUCCACAGAGAUUCUGAAAUGGUGCACUGCCAUACAAGUGGAAUAAGAGUAUCAGGGACUGGUGGCCACAUGGCAAGAGCCCUGCUGAUUUUUCCUCCGAAGCGAACUAAAGCAGUACGCAGUUUUGGCCACAGGAGGGCAGCAGCUCCCGUUGCUCUGAGCCACCCCUUUGCUUCCCCUCCCGCAUCUCCGGCACCUGCAGUACCGAGCUUUGGACACAGGAUGGCAGCAGCGAGCAGUGCCCCGAGCUACGCCGUGCCCCCCCCACCUCCAGCUCCUGCAGUACCGACGCUUAGACACGAGGUGGCAGCACACGCUGCAGAAGCUACGGCCUGAGGGCAACGGCCGUUCCCCUCCCCGUUGACAGCCUCCGGGGACCCCAGCUGCUGAGUGGGGACAGUUUGCAAUAUUGGGGCUGGGGCAAAGUUGCUCAGGGAACUUUUAUUCGAGAUUCUUUCAGGCUUUUAUUGCUUUGGGGGGAUUUAUAAUCACAUUCUUCUCUUUUGCUUUUUAUUUUCUUUACGCGUUUUAUUUAUUUCCUUUUUCAUUCAUGUUUUUCCAGCUGUCCUUGUCUUUUAUUCUCUUUCAGUAACUUUUUUUAGGCGUCCCAUACCUAAAAUGAGAUAAGAAAUGGGCAAACAUGGGUUAGAAAAUUAAAAAAAUGGUUCAAAACGCCUUACAAAUGGUCCAAAGUGGAACACAAGUGGCCCAAAAUGGAUUAAAACAAGCAAGAAAUGGGUAAAAAUGGGUUAGAAGUGGGCAAAAAUGGCUUACAAUGCGGGAGAUGUGGAUAAAUAUGGGACAGAAACAGCCACAGACUGGUCAGAAAUAGCCCCAAAAAAAGCUUUAAAGGGGUUAGAAAUGGGAAAGAUGGGUUAGAAAUUGCCAAAAACGGCUUAAAACUGGUAAGAA